rnacentral:lncRNA from 1 species
GAAUAAGGUGGAGUGGAGCUUGGUGAGGUGGAAUGAGGUGAAGUGGGUGGUGUGGGGUCGGGUAUCAUCUCAACGACCAUCUGCCGGGGUCAGGAGUCACACGACCGCGGCAAACUGGUGCUUGGCCGCGGUCGAAGUGGUGUUUCCCGCGGUCAGAACACCUGCGACUGCGGGGUCUUAAUAUGCAGCCUAUUCCUGCUUCUCAUUGGUUCCUGC